UGUUGGUGGUGGGGUUUCUUUCUCUCCUCCUUCUCUCAUUUAUUUUUUCAGCCCCAGAGCAGCACCUUGCAAGGCCAUUAAUCCCUGCAGCAUGUGCACACAGGGAUCAACCAGAAGGACAUCCUUCACUCAUUACCAGCCCAGUCUUUAAUCUCUGUGCAAGCACCUGCUGUUGGAUAUGAGUGGGGACACAUAUGAGCAUCAAAGCAAAGGAUUCAAAGACUCACUGAUGCUCCUGGGAAGGAGCAAAUCCAGCAAGCAGCAUUUACCCACCCUGCUCCCAAGGGCAGGGACCUGCACAGCAGGAACAGCUCUUUCCUCGCAUUUGUGACAUCGAACUCCUCUCAUCUUAGCUUGAUGUUGAGAUAUUCUGAAGAAUCUCUGAAGCUGGAAGAUGGCAGGAAUCACUUGAAGGCUUCAGGAGGCUUCAAAGACCAGUGGAAAUAUGGGAAUGACUGGGGGGGGUCUGGAGAUGAGAGAAACUGAAGCAGGAUCCAGGACAUGUGUGACUGAUGCAAUGCUGACACUGCACAUCACAUCUUGUGGUCCAAAAGGUACCUCCCAGCUCCCACCUGUGUCUGAAAACCUCUGCCUCCAGUCAGAAAGCAUGGAAGCUCAGUUCUGCUGGGCUGACAGCAAGCUUUUCACUGCAAUUUUUACAGCAUCCAGCUUGAAGGUAUUUCAGUAUUUCCAUUAAUCCCAAUAAAGCUAGAGAAAAAAAACAACUAUUAAUU